rnacentral:hammerhead_ribozyme from 1 species
GCACUGCUGAGGAGUCCCACAAUAGAACGAAACGGCUGUCUAGUAC